rnacentral:rRNA from 1 species
UACGAAGGGGGCGAGCGUUAAUCGGAAUUACUGGGCGUAAAGCGUGCGCAGGCGGUUUUGUAAGCCAGAUGUGAAAUCCCCGGGCUUAACCUGGGAAUGGCAUUUGGGACUGCAAGGCUCGAGUGCGGCAGAGGAGACUGGAAUUCCUGGUGUAGCAGUGAAAUGCGUAGAUAUCAGGAGGAACACCGAUGGCGAAGGCAGGUCUCUGGGCUGACACUGACGCUCAUGCACGAAAGCGUGGGGAGCAAACAGG